UGGGGAAUAUUGCACAAUGGGCGCAAGCCUGAUGCAGCCAUGCCGCGUGUAUGAAGAAGGCCUUCGGGUUGUAAAGUACUUUCAGUCGGGAGGAAGGUGGUAAGGUUAAUAACCUUAUCAAUUGACGUUACCGACAGAAGAAGCACCGGCUAACUCCGUGCCAGCAGCCGCGGUAAUACGGAGGGUGCAAGCGUUAAUCGGAAUUACUGGGCGUAAAGCGAACGCAGGCGGUUGAUUGAGUCAGAUGUUAAAUCCCCGGGCUUAACCCGGGAAUUGCAUCUGAUACUGGUCAGCUAGAGUCUUGUAGAGGGGGGUAGAAUUCCAUGUGUAGCGGUGAAAUGCGUAGAGAUGUGGAGGAAUACCGGUGGCGAAGGCGGCCCCCUGGACAAAGACUGACGCUCAGGUGCGAAAGCGUGGGGAGCAAACAGG
rnacentral:rRNA from 1 species